UCUUAAACUCCUCUGAUUGGGUGCUGAGCUCACCUCCCAUCCACUCACAUUGACUAAAAUGUGUUGCCAGAGCGGUGAAUUAUCAGGAUCCUGGCAGUCCUUUGAAAAUUCGACCCUUGCGAUUCGGAUUGACGUUAUAAUAAUUUUUCAUUUUGGACAUACUCGUUAACCCUUUGUUUAAAAAAAAGGGUUUAUUUAAGGUGUUUGCAGUUUCUCCGGCAAGGUCCGGAAUAGGCUAUUGCAACCUUCCUUCAGAUAGAAGCAAACCCAAAGGCGGUGACGACAUCCCGGCAUGCCUACCUUGAAGAAGUUCUGCUCCUCUGACAGGAGUUCUGUUCCAGUCUUUUCUCUUGUCCACCGUCAUUAAUUUUGCUGUCCUGGUGUUUGACAAGAUCCAAUCAUUGGGCAUUUGUACAAGGAGCUGGAGGGACAACAGCAGGCACCUUUGGAACUAAAUGGCAGGAGAGGCUCCUUUUGUAGGAGGGGGCAUAUUCUAAGUUCAAAGUAUACAUUUAAAGGUUUGGAAGCUGUGGACACCAGUAGCAUACUAGAACUUCAAGGGAGAUACCUGAGAACCACCAUCUUGCCAGCCCCGGCACUGGAAGGAGAGAGGAGAUUAACAGCACAGCCCUGAUAAAGAUGCCCUAUGACUUGAUCUGACAGGCAGAGCCAUCAUCUCAUAUACUGUUACUGCAAUUAUUGAAAAGCCAUCAGCUCACGACUACCCUGAGGGACGCUGAUCACCAUAUACACUCGCAUGUACAUCACGUGGAGCAGGGCAAGGAGCUCGGAGGCUACCAUUCUAGGACAAACACAGCCUCUGGAAAAUGGGAACUUAAGCUGGAUGUUUGGCUUUGAGAGUUAAUUAACAUAGUUUAGUCCCUCUAAAUCUUUGUAAUAGAUGAAUACCCUUUGCAAA